GUGGUGCAUUAAUUUCUGGAAAUACGCGGGCGCUGCUGGACUUGCCUCUUUUUUUUUUUUUUUUUUUUUUUUUUGGCGGUGGUUUUGAUUCAUCCCUGAAAGUCGGGAGAAGGCCUGUAGGCGACGCUGUGCGAGCGAGGAGCGGGUCGCUCCGGCGCGGCGGCGGUCUAGGUGUGGGUGGAGCCGAGGCCAUCCGGACGCGGGGCACCGGAGCCCGGGGACCGGCGCACUUCAAACGUCGUCUUCCUCUUUAUGCUUGAAACUCAGAGGCGUUGGACAAGGCUGGAGUACAAAAAUGUGAAUAUGCAUACACUACCGUGCCUGUCUGUAGUGGCUUACUGUAAAACGAGGGAAUUCCAUCGCUGCAGAGUUUUCUGUUUUGUAUAAAUUAAAAGGGGGCUGUUCUCCAGGUUAAAAGGUGCCAGUAGGUAAGCGGAUUUUACUCAGGAGGAAACAUGCUGUUUUUUAAAUGAAUUAAGUUGUCAGCGCCAGUCGUUUAUUUGUAUGUGUACAGAGGUGCUAGAAGUGUAUGGGACAGCUCACCUCCAGGUUAUUCUUUUGCUUUAGAAGUCACUGGGGGCCAAGUGUUUUAAGAUUUUGUCAUUCCUGCUCUCCAGACCCUGGAGUAAGUCGGGGCCCAAAGAGUCCUGCAAGAAAUGGGCAAGAAAGGAGCCCGAUUCGGCAUCCUUGCAAAUAGAACUAUGUCUCGCCAUGCCUCUGCCGUCUUACCCCCAGAGCAUCCGUAGAAGUUGGCCCCGUCCUGAGGAUUUUGCUCAGAUGCCACCUGGGUGCCUUCAUCGCUUCUUUUACCUACAGGUUGGCGGCUUCGGUCUCAUUUUAUCUUCCGGGCUCUUUGCCCGGCAGUUUCAGGAGAUGAAGUUUAGCUUUGCUUCGCUGGUGUGAUGUAUGCAUCGCGCGCUGUGGCACCCUCUUUCCUCAUUUCUGAACUCUACCCUUUAAUAUCAGCUAAUAUAUACCUGAAAGAACUUUCAUGAAAGAUGGUGAAAACUAGGAAAAUAUAUAGACGGAACCGAGAUUUCAGUAUUUUAUUGUUGUGGUCUACUUAAGAGAUUUAAAAGGCAUUGGUUUUCACCAUAUCUGAGAGGUCAGUCUGCUACAUAUCAAGAACCUGUUUCAAAAACUAAACCAAAACAGCAUUGUUUAUUCAGACUUCUAGUGCCGGAUUCCUUAAGUGGCAGGUAUAUUAAACCUUACAUUUUUUAAAAAGUUGCUAAGCAUAAAUUUUACCAUAGAAAUAAUCCAGUUGAACCAAAGCCUAUGUGCUCUCUCAACUUUCAGCAAUGUACUAAUAAUGCCCUGUGAACUAUGACUACUACCACUCACCAGCAGGGGGAGUGAGUUGGCCUUGAAAGGACUGUAGUACCAAAACUCCUGAAACAAACGGGCACUCCUAGUCCCAGCAGAGGCUAGAAGAAAGUGUUGGCUACCCUGGGACUGGACUUACAUACAGCUGUAACCUGCCAUGUGGGUGCUGGGAACGAAACCCGGAUCCCCUGGAAGAGCAGCUGGUUCUCAAAAACUCUCAGCAGUUUCUCCCUGAAGGUCCAUUCUUAAUACACACCAUUAUAGCAAGUCCUUUUCAUCUUUGGGACUGCAGACAUGGUGUGACUGAGAGCUGCCUGUGAUGAACUGCCUCAAGUUCCUGCUGCCAUGAGUGCCCUGUGAUGCUUGACUAUAGUUUGGAGCGUCCUAGGUGCUGUCGGAGUUAUUUUAGUGCCUCAGUGAUGUUUGGGCACACUUUAUAGUUUGCUACUAUAAAUCUGCUCUAUGGGAAAGACAAGAGGAGCGACAGCACAGGAUUCCAGAAAGAAAGACUCACCGAAGAAAUGGCAGGAACGCUAACGUAAUGAGGAAAGAUCAUGAUCAAGAUGUAGAACUCUCAGCUCCUUCUCCAGCACCACGUCUGCCUGCAUGCCAUCAUGUCCCACCAUGAUGAAAAUGGACUGAACCUCUGAACUGUCUUGUGCAGGCAGCCUUAUUGCUGAGAGUUUAUGGAGCAGCAUCCCUGUUCCAUCCAGAAGUCAUCCUGAUCGUCAGGCUCUUACAGUCCUUCUGCACCCCACUUCAUGAUGUCCCCUGACCUGUGGGUGCAGGAGUUGUGUGGUAGAUCUCCCAUUUGUGACCAGGCACCCAACAGUCAAUUAUUCAUUGCAUUUUGAUUAGUUUGCACAAGUCUUCUGACACCAUGAGAGCUAGUCCUUGUAGAAGAGGCUACCAGGUUGGAGGCUACCAGGUAUUUGUGAACAGAGUAACAGUGAACUGCUACACUGACAACUUCAAAUCUCAGAAGAAGGAAAUGGCUGAAGCCACGAGAAGAUGAAAAGAAAUUCUGUGCUCAUGGAAUAAUAGAAUUAAUAUUGUGAAAAUGACCAUCACAGAGUCAGUGCAAUCCCGACUAAAAUCCUCACAACAUUCUUCACAGAAAUAUAUUAAAAUAUGUAUAAUUAGUAUGGAACCACAAAAGACCCUGAAUAAUCAAAGCAAGUCUGAGCAAAAAGAAAUGUUGGCGGGAUUAUCAUAUCAGAUUUCAAGUUAUAGAACUCUAUAUGGUUAUAGAUUUCAUAUAUAGAAAUCUAGCUAUAUCUAUGUCUAUAUCUAUAUAUAUAUUUCAAGUUAUAUUAUAUGGUUCUGUUAUAAGUAUGACAGUGGCACAAAAAUCAGACGUGCAGAUCAGUGGAACAAGACAGAAGAGCCAGUCUUGAGUGCAUAUAAUUACAGCCACCUGAUCGUCAACAAAGGCAAGAAAAACACGCACUGGAGUAAAGGCAGCGUCUCCAACAAAUGGUGCUGGGGAAACUGACCACAUAUAGAAGGAUGAGAUUAGACCAUUAUCUGUAGCCCUGCACAAAAAUCACCUGUGUUGACUCAAAGACCUCAGUGUGAAACCUGAAACUCUGAACAGGCUAUAUGAAAACAAAUGAAGUACCCUACAGGAUGGAGGUGCAGGAAGGUGCUUUCGGAACAGGAUUUCACUUCUCAGGAAUUAAGGCCAACAGAUGGGACCUCUGCAGAGCAAGGGAACAGUCUAGGGAAGGGAGAGCUCGCAGAGAAUCUUUGCCAUCUAUUUAUCCAAUUAAAGAUUAAGAUCUAGAAUAUAGAAUGUACAAAAACGAAGAACCAAGAAAACAAGUGGACAAUCAAAAAUUGGUCUACCAAUCUGAACAUGGAGUGCUCAACAGAAGACAUAAGAUUGAGAAAUCUCUCAAAGUGUUCUGCAACCUUAACCGUUAGGGAAAUGCAAAUUAAAACUACUUAGAGGUUUCAUCUUACCCGGGUCAGAAUGGCUAAGAUCAAGGAAACAAGUGAUAACAGACCUUGGCAGCGAUGUGAGGAAAGUGAACUGUCAUUGACUGUUGGUGGAACCACAGAUGGUUGCAGCCCCUAUGGAAAUCGGUGUAGAGCGUUCUUAAAGAGCCCCAAGUACAGUCGCCACAUCACCCAGUGACACCAUUCAUUGGCAUAUACCCAAAGACUUGAUAGCCUGCCUCAGAAAUACUUAUGCAGUUGUGUUUAUUUAGUAUGUUUUCAACUGUAUGAAGGUGUAUACGCCGUGGACAUCACCAUUUAUCCAGUUUAAAGUGUAUAGUUCUGAGACCAUCCACAGGUACAAUGCUGCACAAUUAUCAAUUUCCACAAUUUUUCAUCACUCCAAACAGAAAGUCUGUACCCAUGAAAACAACAACUUCCAGUUUUCUCCUGUUACUAACACCUGGAAACCUCUAUAUUAUUCUCUAUCUCUAUGGAUUUGGCUGCUGUAGAUAGUUCAUAUGAUAAGAAGCAGAAAGGAAUAGGCGCAAUGAUAAAGGAGGCAAUUCUGGCAGCAUCCCGGAGUCCCAAUGUUAACAGAGCAGUUAUCUUGACAGACUUCUGCUCAGCUAUCAGCCAGGUGGCAGAGCAAACAUGUUCUGACAAACGAACAGAAGGGUACAAACGGGGGUGCAGCAGGGACAUCAUCUCAGGCAGAAGGAUUGUGUCUACUACUCAAGUUGUGCUUCUGGGGAUCUUCCUUUUCAGGGGAGUCAGUCUUGUGAGGCUGACUUCCUUGACAGCUACUGAGGAAAAGGAAUCCAUUUGGGAGGCAUGCCUCACAGAGCAAUGGAGGUUCAAGACAUAUUUUGAUGCAGAAGCAAUCUUUACUGUAUUCAGCUACUAGCAUUUUGAAUUAAAUUUGCUGCAUCAUAAAUCGAUUGAUUUUGACUAAUCUGCUUCGGAGGCAUGUGUGGAGCUUACAUUUCGUGAGGAGAGAAAAAUCAGCAAGCAAAUCCAUGUAAAGAUGACAGGUCAGGACUGUUGCUUUGAAGGAAACAUGACAGAAAAUAACUGAAAAGACCUGCUCGUGAUGACAGGGAGAGCUGAGGAGGUGACACUGGAGAAUGAGGGAGCCUUCAGAGUGAGAGGAAGAGGGCCGGCCAAGAACGAAGACCUUGAUGUUUGGACAAGUGUGAUGUCUCCGCAGCCAAGACGGCGGAAGUGCGCACACUGGGUGUGCGCAAAUUGGAGCCCUCUCCGAAGUUCUAAUUUGAUUUUCAAAGCAACGGGAAGGCUUGGGGCUUGGGGAGAGUGUGAUAGGAUCUAUGUUUUAAGUGUAUCGGCCUAGAAAAUAACUUUGAAUUGCAGAGCAGCUCGUGAAGAGGGUCUUUUAAUAAUUCAGCUCAGAGAUAAUGAAAAGCUUCAUUUCAGAAAGUAGACGUGGACUGGGAAAGAAUGGAUGGAUUCAAGAUCGAGUUUGAAAGAGGUGUGUGGUGCCUGAGCUUCGGUAUCAAUGGGAUUGGACUAAAAAGUCCCUCGGAGAUCAGAGAAGCUCACCCCUGAAUGUGUCUGUGAGGUUUUUUUCCAGAGAGAACUAACUUAGGUGCUCUGGCUGUGGUUGGCAUCAUUCCAUAGGCUGGGAGUGUAGGAGGAAUAGGAAGAGGGAAAGAAAGGGAGAGCAGUCUCCUUUUCUGCUCUCUGGCUACCAUAAUGCAAGCCGUUCUGCUUUACUGCACCCUCCUUGCCAUGAUGGAACAAACCUGUGACCAAAAUCAAUUCUGUUUCCAUUAAGGUGUUUCUGUCAGGAAUUUUGGUAUACAGAGGAAUAAGGAACACACAGGGUAAUAUUAAAAAUGAAAAAACAAGUGGGCUGGAGAGAUAGCUCAGCCGUUAAGAGCAUUUGUUCUUGCAGAGGACCCAGGUUCAAUUCCCUGAACCCAUAUUUUUGUCUGUACCUCCAGACCCUGAGGAUCUGAUGACCUCUUCUGAACUCUGCAGGCACCAGGCACCCAUGUGGUGCACACACAUACAUGCAGGUAAAACACUCGUACAUACAAAAUAGUAAAAUAAAUAAAUCUAAAACAAUGACAACCACAUCAACAAAAGUAAAACCCUAGGGAUAGGAAACCCAGGACUGAGUAUCAGGGAUUAGAGGGAGACCUAUUUUGUUCUCUAUACUGUUCCAGGUUACUUGAAGUUUUAAACUAUAAGUGUGUAAAAAAAAAAAUUUUUUUUUUUUGGUUUUUCGAGACAGGGUUUCUCUGAAGUGUGUAAAAAUUUAAAAACAAAUAAAGUCAGCAUGGGUCUGACAGGAACCACUAGUUUCUCCUAAAACUUAGAGGAAAAUAAUACUCGUUGAAGAUGUCACUUCACUACAGGGGACCCAGGGCUUUCCUCUGUCAUUUGUGGCCACACACACACACACACACACACACACACACACACACACACACACCAAACAAAAAAAAACAAAAAGCAAAAAAAAAAUCUUAGUAAACAAACAAACAAACAAACAAAAAACCCUGACAAAACAGAACCUCUCUAUCAUAAAAAGACGAAGGCACAGAAAUCUGGAGCCUAAUAACGUUAUUUCCUCCAGAAGUGGUCUUUAGCUUGAAUAAAGAUGCAGGAAGAGAAGCUCUGGGUACAGAAGACAUCAAAGUCAGGGGGAGUGUGGUUGGGAUAGUGAGUGAACGGAGAAGCGAUGGAUCGCUUCACUGAUGAUCUCACAGGGGGAGUGUGGUUGGGAUAGUGAGUGAAUGGAGAAGCGAUGGAUCACUUCACUGAUGGUCUCACAGGGGCUGAAGAGUUUUUGCUGUGUUCAAUACAAUGGAAUAUGGAAGGACAUUUGUAUGAUCUUUUGGGAUACUUGAAGAUGGGAAUUGCUAGUCAUGACAGGGCUCAGAAUGGCAACCAUGUUGGGGUUAAGUCAAAGGCAGUGUGAUCUAAACAUUCUAAUACAAGCAAUGUAGAAUUUGACUUUGGUUUCUAUCUCAUUGUGCUAAUAAUGUUUUGAGUGAUUGCAAAAUACAGGCCAUAUUUCAUAACAUAGGUGGUGACAAAAAAGAGAACUGUUUAUCAUUGCACCUUCAGGAGAUUUUGGCAAAGGAAUUUCUGAUUUUUCUACAAUUUUAUCUUGUAGGUAAGAGUGGGGGUGAUAAAUUGCUAAUCAAUAGCAACCAGACCAGAUAUUUGCAGGACAGUCAUGAGAAAAGAGGACAACAGUUUCCCAAUAAGGAUGAAUAAUGGCCACAAUCAAAGAUAACCCUGAUAGAUAACUCAGUACAGAAGGGAAUUGGAAGGUGCUUAACGUUUCUGAUUCAUAUGAAUAGAUCACUCUUUGAGAUUACAUCCAAAAUAACAAACAAUAUUUAUAUGGACAAUUUCCUGGAAUUGCAGAAAAUUUUUCUUGAGAGCUAGAGGAAUAUGGCGUUUUGGAAAACAGAGGAAUAGUUUUAUUAAAAGAAAUAAUGGAGCUAUUCUUUUAAAAUAUUUUUUAAAAUUAAAAUAUAAUUACACCAUUUUCCCUCUUCUGUUUCUUUCCUCCAGCCAUACCAGGUACAUUUCCCAGCUUGUUCUCUCUCACUCAUAGCCUUUUUUUUUUUUACUUUAAUUAUUUAUAUAUAUAUAUAUGUUUAUGUAUAUAUGCAUAUAUAUAUAUUCCUAAAUAUAACUGGAACCUUCACAGUCUAUAUAAUGUUACUUGUACGCACAUAAUUUCAGGGCCGAGCCCUUGGUAUUGGAUAGCCAGUUGGCGUGCUCUUCUGGGGAAGGCUAUGUCUCUGCUCUCGGCAUUCCCUGGGUGGCUGUAGUUCCUCGCCUAGGAUUAAGGCCCUUUGAGAUUUCUCCCUUCCUUGUUAGCAAGUCUAUUGGUGUCGUCCCUGUGCACGUGGAACUAUUCUUUACAACAUUUGAUAAUGUGGUGGGAGAAAUCAUUCCAUUAAAGUGGCUAUUUAGCAUGUACGGUAUGUAUCAACAAUGAGAUGGCUGCCACUUGAAAUUUUCAUGAUUCUUGAUCUUAACACACUGACACACUUGGAAAGCUAUAGAAUAGUGGGAUAUUGCUCACACGAAAGACCGAAAUAAAACAAGAGAUCAAUCUUUAAUGAAUCACAAGACAAAGGAUAAAAAUGACGUGGAAAUUCAGAAAAAGAUGAGCCCAGGAGAGCUGAUAUUUACAGUGUGGUCUCAAUGGAAGUCACUAUCCCCUGGAUCUGGAAUUAGAAAACUUAGAUUAGGACCUAGUGUGGCUCUGUGGCCCUGGACAAAUUUGUUCUUAAGAGGAUUUUCACUAUUUGUCCUCAGAUCUAUGCAUUGCCCUCUCUGUUUACCAGUAGGUUAGUGUAUGUUGGUAAUGUGGGGGUGGGGUAGAUGGUCGGGGAGGAGUCUCAUUUCUCUAUGAUGCUAUCUAUUGAUUUGUGCCCUCUCCACCCAAUUCAUGUGUUGAAAUUCUUACCUCCAUUAUGACAGUAUCUGGAAACAGCACCUUUUGGAAGAUAAAUGAGGUCAGAAAAGUAGGGCCUGUAUCAGCAACUUUUGUUACUGCUGUGAACAAAUACUUGACAAGAAGCAACUCAAGGGAGGAAGGAUUUGUUUGGAGUCAGGGUUUGCCGGGGAAGGCAUAGCAGUGAAAUCUGCUUGAAGCUGUGGCUGCAGGAGCAUGAGGCUGCUUACUCACAUCCGGGCUUAUCACCAUGAUGUAGAAACAGUAGGAAAUGAGACCUUAAACUCUCUCACCCAGUGGCCCACUUCCCCUCCCUAGGCUCCACUUCCCAAAGGUUCCACAGCCUCCCAAAAUAGUGACACUGGCUGAGACCCAACCAUUAAAUACUUGAGCCUUUCACAUUCAAACCUUGAUGGAUCCCUAAUCCGACAGGGCCAUGGUUUUGUAAGAAGAGAAAGAUUUGUAUUUAUCUCAUUUGAACACAUAAAAGGUACAGCAAGAAGACAGCUGUCUACAAGCUAGAAAAAGAGCCUUCACUGGAACUACUCAUGCUGGCACCUUGACAUUCAACAUCACAGCCCUGGAACUGCAAGAGGUAGAUGUCCGUUGUUUAAGCUGGUGUUAAACAUGGUAUUCUAUUAUAGGGUCAUAAAAAUACAAAGACGCUGGCUUCCUAUGUCAGGCCAAUAGUAGGUACAAGGAGACUGGAGCAGGAAAAGGAUGGAAUUGCUGGAGUACCUGUCCCCUUCUGAUUGUCUCAGCAGCAUCUCCAUGUCUCUUUAAUGAAUCCAGACAGGUAGGUCAUGGUUCUAGUAUCUACAGGGUAAAAAUUUUCUUUUUGUCCUUCCAACCUAGGGUUGCAACAGCUUAUUGCUGGUACUGAACACUGGUUAUCUCACUUUCAGCUUUUCCACCACUUAUGCUACCAGUCCUUUGUAUUAAAGUCAUAAUAAAUAAAUACAUGGGGUUUUUUUUGUUUGAAAUUUGACCAAGAAAACAGUACCUUUAAAAAAAUGUGGUACUGUAAAGCCAGAGGCUGGAGAGGUAGCUCACAGUCAAGAGCACUUACUGUUCUUGCAAAGGAUCUGGUCUGUUGUAAAAUAUUAUUUUAAAAUGUGCUCCAUUUGUUUAUGCUGUGGAACAUUUGUUUAAUGGUGCAAAGAUGUGUUGCAUUCUUUUGUGUUGCAUUUGUUUAACUCUGUGAAGCUGCGUUACUGUGCCUGUCUAAAACACCUGAUUGGUCUAAUAAAGAGCUGAACUGCCAAUAGUGAGGCAGAAGAAAGGAUAGGUGGGGCUGGCAGGCAGAGAGAAUAAGUAGAAGGAAAAAUCUGAGACAAGAAGGAGCAAAAGAACAAGGAGAGGAGAACACCAGGGGCCAGCCACUCAGCCACCCAGCCAGCCAUGGAGUGAGAGUGAACAAAAGAUAUACACAAGUAAGAGAAAGGCAAAAACCCACAGGCAAAAGGUCGACGGGAUAAUUAGUUAAGAAAAGCUGGCAAGAAACAAGCCAAGCCAAGGCCGGGCAUUUAUGAGAAAUACUAAGCUUCCAUGUGUGUGAUAUAUUUAGGAUCUGGGUGGUGGGCCCCCUAAAAGAGCCAAGAGCCUAAGAGUAAAAAAAAAAACAACAACAACAACAACCAACAACACAGGUCCAUUUCCCAGCAGCUACAUCAGACAGCUGACAAUAGCCUGUAACUCCAGUUCCUGGGGAUCUAAGGACCUUUGCCCUCCUUAGGCACCUGUAUACAUGUGGCAUUUAUAAACUCACUCAGGCACAUGUAUAUACACAUAAACUAAACAAAAAAAUCUGACGAAAUAAAGUAACCCUUAAAAUAAUAUACCAUGAAGCUAUGCUAUAAUUUGCCAUUUGAGUAGUAGCAGUUAAUCAUUCACAGAUGUCCGGCUGCACAUGCCUGUCUUUGUCUGUCUUGUUCAUGAGGGCUACACAAUCACGUUUGUGUUCUGUCUUCUCUGAUCUAAUUGAUCCUGCCAGAGAACCCAGAGGGAUCCUUCACGGGUCACAUUGCUGACUCACUCCCAGCCCUCCCCUUUCAGAAAGCUGAGCUGAGACUCACAAAGGAUCACUUCAGCUGAUGAUGGUCAGGGAAGCUGAGGGGCCAGAGCAGGAAGUCAUACUGAUGAGCAGACGGGAGAGAUGCUCAAGGACCAACCAGGUUGUGGCUUAUGGAAAAGGAAGCCUUGGUUUCAGUCCACUUCUGUUUUAGCUUUGCAUGAAGCUCGCUAUUCCUCCCUCAGAUCUCAUGGAAUUCUUUGCAUGGCAUCCAUAAAUAUCCUGUCACUGAAGCUAACUAGCUGGGCAUUUGUGUUCAGGAUACUGCAUAUAUGUCUCUCUCUGUCUCUCUCUGUCUCUCUGUCUCUCUGUCUCUCUGUCUCUCUCUCUCUCUCUCUCUCUCUCUCUCUCUCUCUCUCUCUCUCUCUCUCUCUCUCUCUCCCUCUCCCUCUGACUUUGAACUGCCCUUAACCACAUUUAGCCCAUGACUGGAUGGUGAGAAUUACGUGGAGUCACAUCCAGGAUGAACAACACAAACAAAAGUUCAUGGACAAGAGAUGAUAUUCUGGACUAUCUUCGACACCCUGCUGUUUAAACAACCCCGCGUUUAUCAAGAACCACUAAGGACCCAGGCAAAACUCUUAAAAUCAAAUGUAGUUGGACUUUUACAGCCUUUGCUCUCCGUAGUUGGCUAAUGAUGUUGGAGUUCCCCGAAGCUCAUUUUAAAAUGACAUAAUUGUAAUAUUCAAAGCAGAACAGUGGUGACCAUAGUGCUAAAAUUACUUUUAAAACAGAUCUACAAUCAGUGCAUGUCUUUGACUUCCAGGAAGGUCAUCUCACCGGGGUAUUUAAAAAUCAGGUCAGAAAAAAGCAGUAAACAAGGGCUUUCCCUGGAAACCAACUUUGCAAUUUUCUAAAGAUAAACUUUUAAAAUUCACCCAGAGUACCUAAUAGACUAUCAUCCACAACGCUGAUGUGUGUGUAUGUUCUGGUGUGUCCUGUGAUUAGGUAGUUUACAACCAUUUGUUCUUGGUCCAGAAAAUUCUCACUAUUGAUAUAACACUCCUGUGCUGAUUAACUAUUGGCGUUUGGUGAAUGGCGGAUUCCAUCCUGCUGUUUUAAUGUGACGUAAUGGAGAGAAGGGCUUGGAUGGAGCGUGAAAUGUGCUGGCGGAAGCAAGUUUAGUCUCAAGGUCUGACAAGACACUGGUGACCCUCACCUAUAUAGCUGGAAUCUAUCCUGAAGUUGUUUCUUUAAUUUUUUUUAUUAUAUUUAUUGCUUGAUUUUGGGGGUGAGUGGGUAAGUCCAUGUGCCACUGCCCAUGUGUGGCAGUUGGAAGACAACUUUUGGAAGUUGCUUUUCUUCUUCUAUCUAUUGAGGGCUGGGGGUCAAACCCAAGUGGUCAGGGUUGGUGACAAGUGCCUUCACCCACUGAGCCAUCUCACUGGCCUGUGACGUUGUUCCUUAUUAAAGAAGAAAAUAUCUGCACACAAUAUUUGUGUACUAUGUGGGGUUUUAGCUGAUUACACAAACCCACUUGUUGGGGCAACAUGUAUCUUAACAAACUGUUUAGUUGCAUAGAAUCAUGCAUUUUAAAAUUCCACUAUAUAAUUUUAACUUUCACUGUAUAAUCUAAGUUGGUACUGACCUUAAGUAUCGUACAACCCUUAUAAGAAAGCACAAGAAUUUCUCCCUUCUAUAAAUAUUAGACGAUAUUAAUGAUAUUUAAUUAUUUGUUUGUUAUACGAGCUUGGCUGCUAUAAUGAAAUGGUUGAACCUCCAAGUUGAGAUAUAGAAUGUUACCCACUGGACUCCUGUAUGAUACCAGAACAACAGUGAUUACUGGGGUGAAGGCUCACCCCAAAUUUCUAGACUUGUUUCUCUGUCCUUAACACACAGUCAUACUUAUCAGAAAAGAUUAUUUUGUAGAAGCAGUUUUUAUGGGAUCUGAUUCUGACAAACUAAUUUAGCUUUCUAUUGAACAUUUGGAUAACACAUUAAAAUUUAAUACAAGACAUUUUCUAAAAGAACAGGUGUUUUAUGUAUUUUUAAGUUCACCAUUUUUAAAACUAUAUCAUUUCAUUGAUCUAAGACCCUGUAACCAUAGCAGGAAAUAUGAUAAUAUUUAUUAGUUUGCAUUGAUUGUUGUCAGACUCUGUCUUUUAAAUUCUGACUCUCAGGCACUGUUACUUCCCUUGCUCCAUGUCUCUGGGGCAUUCUGUAUUUUGGGGCCUGGUUCUUUUUGCAACUAGAGCUAUGUGAGCCUUUGUAGUAGCUACUGAGCUCUGAAGCCCUUCUGGCCAACUGUGAUUUAUUUCUGUAAUUCUUUUAAAGAUUUAUUUAUUAUGUAUAUUGUGUUCUGUCUGCAUGUAUGCCUAUUCACCAAAAGAGGACACCAGAUCUCAUUAUAGAUGGUUGUGAGCCACCAUGUGGUUGCUGGGAAUUGAACUCAGGACCUCUGGGAGAGCAGUCAGUGCUCUUAACCUCUGAGUCAUCUCUCCAGCUCUGAACAUGGGUUUUUGACAAACCUUGGCUUUGUUCAUUUCAUAAACAACAGACUAAUGAGCAGAUUCUAGGUUUCUCCUCCAGUCUGGGAGGCUGGCUUUCUCCGUAGGACAAAGCCUUUCUUGACCUGUUGCGUUUCCAUUUCCGAAUUCGCUGCCUGUUUCUCUGUUAUUAGAGGUGUAGAACAUCUGGAUUUCUCAGUGUCCACUGUGCCCGCUAGCUCACUGCUCUCCUUUCCCAAUUGGCAUCACAAUUGGUCUUGCUUCCUCCAGAUGCUCUUGGAGUCUAAAUGCCAAAAGGUUUUUCAUUACAGGUCCUAUUGCUGAAUCACAGCUUUCUCCAGAUCUCCAGGUCUGCGUUUCAUCAGUGCCUUAAUGUCCCAGCAUGACAUCUUAUAAGAAGUCAUCAAAAGAAAGAAAUAAUGUCAUCCACACUCAUCAAGGUCUUCAGCAGCAAAUAUAAAGAAGAAUGACUUCUGAACGUACAUUCUCAAGUUAUCCUUUAAGACUCACCAUGGUUUCAGAAAGGCAGCACACAAGUAUAAAUUAAUAAGCAAUGCGUUCGAUUUUAUCUUAACCCUUGCUUAAGUACAGACUACAAAAACUAUCUGCUUCUGUGAAUCUUUUUCUAGGACUGCUUUCAUGUCAUGUAACAUUUAAAACUCAGAUGAAAAUUUUGGAGGAUUAGUUUCUCAAAUUCAUGCUUGGUAAAGAGCACAUCUAUAAAUGAUUCCACCGAAGCACGUGUUUGGCAUAGAGACAAUCUUGUUGUGGGGUGACUCUUGGAUCUUACUCUAGACUCUGGUAGCCCUGUCCUAGAACCCACCAUGGUGUUUGAGGACUGCUAUAGCUUGCAAAUAUCAUAAGGGUAGUAAAAUUCAAUGAAGCCCAAUAUCACAGAGAUAGUUUUGGGGUGUUGAGCUAGGUGUGUUGGAUGUGAUCUGUUGCAUGAAUCCUAAAUGGUCUUAUAAUAAAAACCUGGAGCCAGAUAUCAGGGUGAAAACUAAAAGAUCAGAGAAGCAGAGCAAUCCACAGCCACCACCUCUCACCUCACCAACUCCGCAGCCUGCAAGAGCUCGUGUUCCUGUCUCCUCCCUCCUUGUAUUCCUUUCUUCGCCCAGCCAUAUCACUUCCUGUCUCAGCCUUCCUACUGCUGGUGUGUGAUCCCAAGUGCUGGAAUUAAAGGUGUAUGCCACUA